UUGAGCUACAGUUAAUCAUCCUCAGCAGUCAUAUAUGCAAGACUACUGUACAAAGACCAAAUGUUAUUUUUAUUCGAUAAAAUCCCAUGCCAGUUCCUUUUCCUUCGAAAUUCAGUUUCCCAAGACCCAACCGAGCUUCCUCCUUCUCUCCUCUUCACCAUUUUCAUUCCUACUCUCCCUUUCCUCUUCACCAUUUUCGUUCAACCCAAUGUCCAGAAACUCUAAGAAAGAUUUCACAACAUUAUCGUCCCAGGUGCGUACAUUUCAUUUCUUUGAGAUUAACAAGGGUUUAUGUCACACGGUGCCUUGAUGCUCUCUCAUCUUCCCCAGCUCUCUCUCCCUUUUCUCUCCUAUUCUCUCUACUAAGCUCUCAAGGGGUGUUCUAGGGAUGGAGCCUUCAUUUGAUGCGGAUUCCUUUUUCACCACACUCUUGCAAAGUGGCGGGCAAGAGGAGGGCAGCACCCAAUAGCAUACAUGGUAAUGUGGUGUUCCAACUAUCACAAGUUGAAAGUGAACGAAGGUCACCUACUAAAAAAUCUCAACGAGGUGUGUCUUUUACCACAAAGGAGGAUAAUCUCCUUGUUUCUGCUUGGCUAAACAUUAGCAUUGAUGCUAUUUGAGGGACUGACAAAAAAUCUACACAAAUGUGGGAAAUAAUUUAUGAAUACUAACAUGAGUAUAAAAAACCAAACACUCCUGAACGUUCAAUUGCAUCAUUUAUCAAUCGAUGGCGAUUGAUUCAAAAAUGCACAAACAAGUUUUGUGCUGCUAUAACACUACUAGAAUCUUUGCAUCUGAGUGGUACCAUAGAGGUCGAUGAGGUAUUAAUUUUGUUUUUCUUUUAUUGUUUUAUAUGCUUAGGCUUAUUUACAUACUAACUUUAUCAUUUUGUUCAUUUGAGAUUGAGAAGGCGAAAAUAUUAUACAGAGAAAAUGAGAAUGCAAAUUUUACCAUGGAGCAUUGUUGGUGUCUAUUAAUACACCAACCAAAAUGGUAACAACAUCAGUAAACAAAGUCAACGAGGAGAAAACCACCUUGAAGACGUCCGGCCAGUGCUAGUUUAACUCUAGACGGAGACGAUAUGUUGGAUGACAAUGUGGAGGUCAUCCAUGAGAGACCUCCAGGAAAGAGGACCUAGAAAGUAAAAGAAAGAAAGAGGAAGUCUAAAGAUGAAAUAGAUAUUGAAUUUAACCAUGCCUUAGCUCGCUUGACUACUGAUAGAAAUACAUUCAAUGUGGAGAGAAGAGAAUUUUACAGCAAGGCGGAGCGGGAUAGAGAUGAACAUCUUGCACUAGAGAAGAAGAAGUUCGAAGCUAAAAUAAUGAAAUUAGAUCUUGAUGGGAUGAAAGCAAAGCAGCAAAUCUAUUUCCAAUGUCUUUAGGAUGAAAUUUUCGAUGCCUUAAUGAAAGAGUUGCAAUCACAUCACCAUCCGAGGACCCAUCCUUUUGGAGGUGUGUAAGUAUAUGUUUAACAGUAGUAUAUGUUUAACGUAAACUUUGUUUGAUUUUAGUGGCCGUCUAGCCACAUGUGAUGGAAAUACAUGUGACUUGAUAGCAACUUUGUUAUUGGACAUUGUCUCUAUUUUUUGUGAUGGGUAGUAACAUUAGUGAUGGGCUGACUUUUGGAUGUGUGUGUAUUUUUGUGAUGGGCUGACUUUUGGAUGGGUGCAUAUUUUCGUGAUGGGCUGAAAUGUAUAACCAUCAGUUGGUGAUGACUUGUGCUUAUCUCAUUGGUUUUUUUUUUUUAGGUGAAAAUGUAAUGUGCAGGUUUUUUUCAAUGGUGCUGUAAUGUAACUGAAUGUAUUUGUGAUGGGCAGAAUUAUUGUGUUCA